rnacentral:rRNA from 1 species
CCUGUUUAACAAAAACAUCGUCUUUUGAAACACCCACAUAAAAGAUAAUGCCUGCCCAGUGAAAAUUUUAAACGGCCGCGUUAGCGUGAGCGUGCUAAGGUAGCGUAAUAAAUAGCCUUUUAAUUGGAGGCCAGUGAAUGGCAAGACUAGGAAUACCUGUACCCUUUAUGGAAAAAAAACUUUUCAUUUGAGUGAAAAGACUCAGAUAACAAAGGAAGACGAAAAGACCCCGCGGAACUUUACCUUUUCCAGCCUUAGCUGCCCACAAACACAAAAGACAAAAGGUUUGAUUGGGGCAAUCUCGGAACAAACCAAGCUUCCGAUCUCCCUUAAAUAAACAUCCAU